rnacentral:miRNA from 1 species
AGGUUGUUUGGUUUUGUGUU